UGGGGAAUAUUGCACAAUGGGGGAAACCCUGAUGCAGCGACGCCGCGUGAGCGAAGAAGGCUUUCGAGUCGUAAAGCUCUGUCCUAUGAGAAGAUAAUGACGGUAUCAUAGGAGGAAGCCCUGGCUAAAUACGUGCCAGCAGCCGCGGUAAUACGUAUGGGGCGAGCGUUGUCCGGAAUUAUUGGGCGUAAAGGGUACGUAGGUGGUUUUUUAAGUCAGGUGUCAAAGCGUGGAGCUUAACUCCAUUAAGCACUUGAAACUGAAAGACUUGAGUGAAGGAGAGGAAAGUGGAAUUCCUAGUGGAGCGGUGAAAUGCGUAGAUAUUAGGAGGAAUACCGGUGGCGAAGGCGACUUUCUGGACUUUUACUGACGCUCAGGUACGAAAGCGUGGGGAGCAAACAGG
rnacentral:rRNA from 1 species